rnacentral:misc_RNA from 1 species
AAGUCGUAACAAGGUUUCCGUAGGUGAACCUGCGGAAGGAUCAUUACCUUUCAAUGCAGCAGAAUUGGGAUGGUUGAGUAUCUCGCCUCUCCGUUCUGCCUGUAUUCUACCCUUGUUUGUCAUAUACUAUUAUUUCCUCGGCAGACUUGCCUGCCGAGUGAAACCAUUUAUAACCUUUUUAAUUUUCAAUCAGCGUCUGAAAAAAUUAAUAAUUACAACUUUCAACAACGGAUCUCUUGGUUCUG